UUUCCGUAGGUGAACCUGCGGAAGGAUCAUUGUCGAGACCGAAAUUAUAUCGAGCGAUUCGGAGAACCUGUGAAAUAAGCGGCGGCGCCGUCGCCGCGAAGCGGCCGUCCCCGUCGUCGCUCCCCCCGUCCGGAGGGGGCCGCGUCGAGGGACGGCCGAAACCCCGAACCGGCGCAGACUGGCGCCAAGGGAGCUAUCGAAAAACACGGGCCCGUCAUCGGGUCUUCGUGGGGUGGAGCGGUGCUGCGCACCGCACGUACUGACACGACUCUCGACAAUGGAUAUCUCGGCUCUC
rnacentral:misc_RNA from 1 species